rnacentral:rRNA from 1 species
UCAGAUGCGAAAGCGUGGGUAGCAAACAGGAUUAGAUACCCUGGUAGUCCACGCCGUAAACGCUGUCUACUUGGAGGUUGAGGUUUUAGACUUUGGCUUUCGGCGCUAACGCAUUAAGUAGACCGCCUGGGGAGUACGGCCGCAAGGUUAAAACUCAAAUGAAUUGACGGGGGCCCGCACAAGCGGUGGAGCAUGUGGUUUAAUUCGAUGCAACGCGAAGAACCUUACCUACUCUUGACAUCCAGCGAAGCCUUUAGAGAUAGAGGUGUGCCUUCGGGAGCGCUGAGACAGGUGCUGCAUGGCUGUCGUCAGCUCGUGUUGUGAAAUGUUGGGUUAAGUCCCGCAACGAGCGCAACCCUUAUCCUUGUUUGCCAGCACAUAAUGGUGGGAACUCCAGGGAGACUGCCGGUGAUAAACCGGAGGAAGAUGGGGACGACGUCAAGUCAUCAUGGCCCUUACGAGUAGGGCUACACACGUGCUACAAUGGCAGAUACAGAGGGCAGCGAGACAGCGAUGUUUAGCGAAUCCCUUAAAGUUUGUCGUAGUCCGGAUUGGAGUCUGCAACUCGACUCCAUGAAGUCGGAAUCGCUAGUAAUCGUGGAUCAGAAUGCCACGGUGAAUACGUUCCCGGGCCUUGUACACUCCGCCC